rnacentral:rRNA from 1 species
AACGAACGCUGGCGGCAUGCCUAACACAUGCAAGUCGAACGAACCCUUCGGGGUUAGUGGCGCACGGGUGCGUAACGCGUGGGAAUCUGCCCUUUGCUUCGGAAUAACUCAGGGAAACUUGUGCUAAUACCGGAUGAUGUCUUCGGACCAAAGAUUUAUCGGCAAAGGAUGAGCCCGCGUAGGAUUAGGUAGUUGGUGGGGUAAAGGCCUACCAAGCCGACGAUCCUUAGCUGGUCUGAGAGGAUGAUCAGCCACACUGGGACUGAGACACGGCCCAGACUCCUACGGGAGGCAGCAGUGGGGAAUAUUGGACAAUGGGCGAAAGCCUGAUCCAGCAAUGCCGCGUGAGUGAUGAAGGCCUUAGGGUCGUAAAGCUCUUUUACCAGGGAUGAUAAUGACAGUACCUGGAGAAUAAGCUCCGGCUAACUCCGUGCCAGCCGCCGCGGUAAUAC